rnacentral:sRNA from 1 species
GUGAAUGAGAUUCGUGAAUGACGAGCGGCUAAGUCAGCUCCGGGUUGCGAGCUGCCUAGGUGAACUGCCGAGUUUUCCUGUCCAGGCAGCAAGGCUCAGAGGUCCUAAGACCCCUUUGGCUUUCUGCCACAGAGGCACUCCAGAGACGGACAGAUCUCUUCCCCACACGCCCCGCCCCCUGCUUACAGUAGCUGUGAGUAAUCCUAAAGGAAGCUGAUGGGGGAAGCCCUGCACGGCUGUGGGAAUCUAGUAAAUAGGUGCCCGUUGCUGGCUGGGCCACAAGAUAACCCAAGGUUCCGGUCACCUUUGGUCCCUCUGCUGUGAUUUAUGGCUUACAGGAGGUCCAUCUGGUUCCCACAUGUGAACUCUCAGGCUUCAUUGGAACAGCCGUGGUUAUUCCCGUACGUAAUUACACCAUAAUGAGUUUCAACUUCCCCUUCGAGCUCAAGGGAAUGCUGGAAUCCCCCGACUUUCUCCUCAAGUCACCCUUGACUUUGUCUGACCUUCUGUACAGGUUUUGCUUCCCAGUCCAACUGAAUCUGUGCCUGAAGAGAGACGUUUUCUGAGAAAUGAUCCACAUCCCUGUCCUCCUUCCUGGACCAUCGCUGGCAGAUGCUGGCCGGAAACAAGCAUUCUCUUGUCUUUACGGGAAUGGCAUCCUUGUGGCUCUUGCUGGAAUCAGCAGAUGGAAUGAUGGCUCCGUGAUUAAAAGCACUGACUGCUCUUCCAGAAGACCUGGGUUCAAAUCUCAGCACCCACAUGGUGGCUGACA